rnacentral:rRNA from 1 species
UAACACGUAGGUGAUCUGCCCAUCAGACGGGGACAACGAUUGGAAACGAUCGCUAAUACCGGAUAGGACGAAAGUUUAAAGAUGCUUCUGGCAUCACUGAUGGAUGAGCCUGCGGCGCAUUAGCUAGUUGGUGGGGUAAAGGCCUACCAAGGCGACGAUGCGUAGCCGACCUGAGAGGGUGAACGGCCACACUGGGACUGAGACACGGCCCAGACUCCUACGGGAGGCAGCAGUAGGGAAUCUUCGGCAAUGGGCGAAAGCCUGACCGAGCAACGCCGCGUGAAUGAAGAAGGCCUUCGGGUUGUAAAAUUCUGUUAUAAGGGAAGAAAGGUGAUAGGAGGAAAUGACUAUCAAUUGACGGUACCUUAUGAGAAAGCCACGGCUAACUACGUGCCAGCAGCCGCGGUAAUACGUAGGUGGCAAGCGUUAUCCGGAAUUAUUGGGCGUAAAGAGCGCGCAGGUGGUUAAUUAAGUCUGAUGUGAAAGCCCACGGCUUAACCGUGGAGGGUCAUUGGAAACUGGUUGACUUGAGUGCAGAAGAGGGAAGUGGAAUUCCAUGUGUAGCGGUGAAAUGCGUAGAGAUAUGGAGGAACACCAGUGGCGAAGGCGGCUUCCUGGUCUGCAACUGACACUGAGGCGCGAAAGCGUGGGGAGCAAACAGGAUUAGAU